UCGAAGGUAGCAUAAUCAGUAGUCUUUUAAUUGAAGGCUGGUAUGAAUGGUUGGACGAAAUAUUAACUGUUUCAUAAAAAUUUAUAAUAAAACUUUAUUUUUUAGUUAAAAAGCUAAAAUUUAUUUAAAAGACGAGAAGACCCUAUAAAUCUUUAUAUUUAGUUUAUUAUAAUUUUAUAGAUUUUUUUUAUUAUAAUUAAUCAUUAUAUUUUAUUGGGGUGAUAUUAAAAUUUAAUAAACUUUUAAUUUUUAAAAUCAUUAAUUUAUGAAUAAUUGAUCCGUUAAUAAUGAUUAAAAAAAUAAGUUACUUUAGGGAUAACAGCGUAAUUUUUUUGGAGAGUUCAUAUCGAUAAAAAAGAUUGCGACCUCGAUGUUGGAUUAA
rnacentral:rRNA from 1 species